ensembl:lncRNA
UUCUGAACUGUCAUUUUCGAAGGUUGAGCGGACUGCAGAUACGCGUGUUUAAAGGGGUUCCACAGAUAUGCACAACUACAGCAUCCUGAGAUCAGUCCUGAUGGGUCUACUGAUCUUAGCUGGUUCGGAGGGACAGAGCUGUGCAUUAGCGGACAGGGUCACAAGUGUCUGUUGGUGCAACACUACUCCGACUCAGGAGAUUUAACUAAACCCAUUUAUUGCUUCAUUAGAAU